rnacentral:rRNA from 1 species
CUUAACCAGGCGCUGCUCACGCUGCUGCCCAAGCGCGUGGACUCUCGCUGUCUCGGAGACUACAGGCCGAUAAGCCUCAUCCACCUCGUCGCCAAGAUCUUCGCGAAGGUCCUCUCGCUGCGUCUCGCGCCCAAGCUCAAUGCCCUCGUCAGCGCGAACCAGAACGCGUUCAUCCCUGGACGCUCAUUACAUGACAACUUCGUCCUCGUCCGGCAGUCCGCGCGCCUCCUCCAUCAGCUCAAGGCCUCCCGCUUGCUGUUGAAGCUCGACUUGGCACGGGCCUUCGACUCGAUCAGCUGGCCGUUCCUUUUCGAGGUAUUGCGCCAAUACGGAUUCGGCAACCGCUUCCUGGACUGGCUGGCCAUUCUGCUUUCGUCGGCCAGCACCAAGGUGCUCCUGAACGGCAAGCCCGGCCCGACCAUUUGGCAUCGCUGUGGGUUUCGACAGGGCGAUCCCCUCUCGCCCCAGCUAUUUGUCCUCACUGCUGACACGCUUAGCCGUCUCCUUCGCUGA